rnacentral:rRNA from 1 species
UACGUAGGUGGCAAGCGUUGUCCGGAAUUAUUGGGCGUAAAGAGCGCGCAGGCGGUCGUUCAAGUCGAGUGUGAAAGCCCCCGGCUCAACUGGGGAGGGUCACUCGAUACUGAUCGACUCGAAGGCAGGAGAGGGAAGCGGAAUUCCCGGUGUAGUGGUGAAAUGCGUAGAUAUCGGGAGGAACACCAGUGGCGAAGGCGGCUUUCUGGCCUGCUCUUGACGCUGAGGCGCGAAAGCUAGGGUAGCAAACGGG